GAGUUUGAUCCUGGCUCAGAGCGAACGCUGGCGGCAGGCCUAACACAUGCAAGUCGAACGCACCUUCGGGUGAGUGGCGGACGGGUGAGUAACACGUGGGAACGUGCCCUUUGGUACGGAACAACUCAGGGAAACUUGAGCUAAUACCGUAUGUGCCCUUCGGGGAAAGAUUUAUCGCCAUUGGAGCGGCCCGCGUCUGAUUAGCUAGUUGGUGAGGUAAAGGCUCACCAAGGCGACGAUCAGUAGCUGGUCUGAGAGGAUGAUCAGCCACACUGGGACUGAGACACGGCCCAGACUCCUACGGGAGGCAGCAGUGGGGAAUCUUGCGCAAUGGGCGAAAGCCUGACGCAGCCAUGCCGCGUGAAUGAUGAAGGUCUUAGGAUUGUAAAAUUCUUUCACCGGGGACGAUAAUGACGGUACCCGGAGAAGAAGCCCCGGCUAACUUCGUGCCAGCAGCCGCCGUAAG
rnacentral:rRNA from 1 species